rnacentral:rRNA from 1 species
CAGGGAAUCUUGCACAAUGGGUGAGAGCCUGACCCAGCCAUGCCGCGUGCCGGAAGACGGCCCUCUGGGUUGUAAACGGCUUUUCUACCGGAACAAAAGGGUCCUGCGGGACAGAUUGCGUGUACGGUAGGAAUAAGCACCGGCUAACUCCGUGCCAGCAGCCGCGGUAAUACGGAGGGUGCCAGCGUUGUCCGGAUUUAUUGGGUUUAAAGGGUACGUAGGCGGAGGGCUAAGUCCGGGGUGAAAGCCCACCGCUCAACGGUGGAACUGCCCUGGAUACUGGUCAUCUUGAGUGCCGUAGAAGUAGGCGGAAUUCAUGGUGUAGCGGUGAAAUGCAUAGAUACCAUGAGGAACACCGAUAGGGAAGCCAGCUUACUGGACGGUCACUGACGCUGAGGUACGAAAGCGUGGGGAGCGAACAGGAUUAGAUACCCCGGUAGUCC